CCGAUUGUCUCGUUAUGUUGCUCUGCGGUCUGCUUUGUUCCUGAGGUCCUUGUCGUGGAUUCCUUGAUUUAUGGAUUAUUGCUCCCACUCCACCUUGGAUGCACCGUACUUGGGUCUCAAGGGGUUGAGGAUGUGGUUGUUCCACCGAAACUUCACCUCUGUAGCAUCACCGAUGUCCACCUCGGCGUCGAUCAGCACCUCGUAGAUGGCGUCCAGGUCAGAGGGAUAGCCUUUAUUGGCGGAGCAGCCGGGCAUCAGCUCUCCACCGUUGGGGUAGAAGUCAAUGUGGCCCAUGGAUUGAGACAUGCCCAGACCUGAGAGGAGGGAAACAGAAACCACUUUUUGUACAGAGACAAAAGAUUUUUUUUUUUUUUGAUUUUAGUAACAUUUGAUAAAGCUUCACUCCCCUUAUAUUCAACUGUAUUACACAACUUUUAAAAAAUAGCAUACAGAUGGGAAUUUAAAACUGA